GGCGCUGUAGUGUAGUGGUCAUCACUCGGGGUUUUGAAAUGAAGAUUCCCGUAACCCAGGUUCGAACCCUGGCAGUGCCU